UACGUAGGCGGUUUACUAAGCUGGAUGUGAAAGCCCUGGGCUUAACCUGGGAACGGCAUUCAUAACUGGUAGACUAGAGUAUGGCAGAGGCGAGUGGAAUUUCCUGUGUAGCGGUGAAAUGCGUAGAUAUAGGAAGGAACACCAGUGGCGAAGGCGACUCGCUGGGUCAAUACUGACGCUGAGGUACGGAAGCGUGGGUAGCAAACA
rnacentral:rRNA from 1 species